ACAGGAGGGCAGAUCGCCCCGUGUGUUUCCUCUCAGAAAUGACAGUGUGGUUCUAUCCCCCUUUUCCGUGUCAGAGCGAGGACGCCACUUUGAUCACACAGGGAGGCUGGUGAACAGGCCUAAACGGAACCACGAGGAGUAUGCUGAACGAUGCCCUUGUCCAGGUCAGCCUGAGCCCCCAACGCAGAAGAAUCGCAGGCAUGAGUGUCCCUGUGACAGUUUCCCUUCUUCACAGCCAGAACAUUCCCAUCACCGUGGCAAGAACAAACAUCGGCAGAAUAAGAGAGCGAAGUGCCACAGGUUCUUGAAAAUCUGCAAACUUAGGAUGUUCCAGAUCCCUCUGUAGCUGUUCGCCCAACAAACUGUGGUUAAUCAUCUCUUGCAAGAGCAAACCCUUUGUGUAUGUUCCAGCCUUGAAAUCUAGAAGUAACAAACCUGGCAUGUGGAUUCCGCCCUCGCCGCAGUGCUCAAUUCGCCAUUUUCCCAACGCUCUAAAAUAGAUUUCAGUCCAAUUUAGCAUGUUUUCUUUGGCUUACGAAAGCAUGCUGCUUUUCUUUAAUGCAUCCUAAUAUAUAAAAUGUGUGUGGGCGUGGUCCCAUAGCCAAAAGUAUGUGAACUGAAAUAUUUGCUGGCAUGGGGAAUCAAUAAAGUGUAUAUCUAGUAUGGUUUCCAUGUAAGUGUCAAACCAAAUCAAAAGAAAGUCCAACGUAAUUAGAUACAGGAU